rnacentral:lncRNA from 1 species
CUAGUUCUUCAGUCUGUCAACUGUUUAUCUCUUCUCUCUGUCAGUGCGUUGACAUCCUCUAUUGCUCUGUCGCCCUGCCGUUACUCCCUUGGAAUGAUGCUGUCUGUGCAAGCCUCUGCCCACCGACGUUCUCCUUCAUACACUUUUACUGUUGCCCCCUCUGAAAUCCCUUUCUUUUCCUUCAUAUUCUCUUGUCGUUGUCGCUUCUGAAAUCGUAUUUUCCGUUCCUUUGAACAUGUAGGCAAACACUAGGUAAAGAAUUUGUCUUUCCAAAGAGAGUAAGACAGUGAAGAGGAGUGAGGUGGCUAAGCAAUGUCUAGCUUGAGUAGCCGCAAUCAGCGCUUGAUUUUUGUUGGCUUUGGUAUAGAUCGGCGAUGUUCCUCCACCUUUGAAGAUAGAGCACAAGGAAGGAUGACCCGAUCAUUUGUGGGGAGGAGUGAGAUCCUAGUUCCUGCCUUCACCGAUCGGGAGGAGUGAGAUCCUAGUUCCUGCCUUCACCGAUCUUCAUUCAUAUAUAACUGUUGAUUUGGAGUUUUAAAUAAAAAAUGUAGCAUUCAUCGUCAUCGACAUAGAUCGUAGAGAGUUUUGCGAAAGGAACGCCAACUUUCUGACGUGAGCCUAUUAUUUUCUCUUAAUUUUCUGUGAUGUUUUCAUUUUUUUCCGAUAUUUCAAUCUUGAGUUUUUCACUGGAGAAAGGGUCAUGUAUAAAAGUAGAGCAAUUUUUCAGGAAGAUCAAGUUGAAGGCUUUUGAUUUGGGUGGGCUAGAUUGUUCACCAUGCUUGGAAAGAAUGUUACCCUAAAGGUAGUAAUAAUUUUAGGAUUUAUUGCUCUUUAUUUGAAUCACUUUCAAUGUACUUUUUAAAGAAAAUUUAUGCCUUUUCUAUUCCUUCAUUCUUGAGGAUAAAUUCUUUCUUUAACUUUAUAUAAGCAGAAUUAUUGUUUUUUUUUUUUCUAAUAAUAUAUCAAUUGGUG